UGCCCCGUUUGAUCAUGAUAAGGAAGAAGCAACAAAGUGAAACCUUAAUCUAUCUGGAGCAUGACAGUCAGCAGGCUAUUACAGGUAAUAAAAAGCAAAAUUCACAUUACCGCCUAAAACAUUAACAUCACUCAACUGAAUACUUCAUUGUUUUGGUAAAAUUUUUUAGGUAAAUUUAGUACUUAACUUUAAAUUAGUACUGCCUCUGCCUACUGUAGAGAUGAGAUGAUGAUCUUUUCUGAGUAAAUUAGCUCAUGCCUAUUUUUAAUUGUAGAUUUGAUUUUUCAGUGAUUUUAGAGUUACAAUCAUACAAGUAAUGAAGUUCCAUGAUCGUGCACUAAUGAAUAUGAUAACUUUGUUUUUUGGUCUGAGGAUAUGAAUAUCAAUAAUUCAAUAUGCACCUGCAUGCAAAUACACACAAAUAAUGAAAUUGAAAAUUUUCAAGUGGCACGUUUAUACAAACCAACAACGAAUCUUUUUAUGUUUCUAUUCAUUGCUGGUCUUCAUAUUCCAACAUCUAUCAAAUUUUGAUGGUUUUUUGUGCUUAUUAGAAUCUGUUUGCUUGGUGGAAUAAGGUUAUAAGCUUAUGUGCAUUGUGGUUCUUCCAAGAGCUUUAAUUUCAUAAAAGAACCUUUAAAAAAUUUAGUGUGAUUCCAUACAUAUAUAUAGUUGGUAGAAGUAGCAUGGCCGUUUGGAAGAAUCAAGUGUUCCGGUAUCAAUUCCUAGAGCAUUGUAUGUUCUUAGUUUCUUUGAUAGAUAUUAAUGACAAGUACAAAUUAUACUAGAAUACUUCUUUUUGUACAUUUGUUAAUGCAUCAUGUACCUUGAGUAAGCUACAAUUGCUUCAACAUUUUAAGCAAUACCAGUUUUUAAGUGAGUCAAAGCCAAUGUGACUUCCUGUCAAUAUUUUGUCUCAUACAAACCCUACACCAAUUUAACAGAGAAACCGAGUUAUACUGAUAUAACAUUAUUACAAGCAUGUUGCAGUUGAAAAAGGGUGAUAUAAUUAUACCAAAACAAUAGAGACUGACAUGGAGUUCUUAGACAUUAGGAGUGAGAAGAUGCUAUUUAUCUAAGUUAAGAAUAUCGUUUAGUGAUUACAAGGACAUUCAUAUAUUGCAUAGUUGAAAUUUCUUCCAUUGAAUUGCUACUUUGCUUUUGCGUUUUGGUACAGCUAACAUAUUUGAUGUUAUUUACAUAAUUAGACUGUCCCUGACAUAUUAAAGAAAUGGUCAUGAUCACUACUUCCUUUGAGACAAUUGAGGUUAAUGCUUAUUUUAACACCCAUCUCACAUAAACAUUAUAAAGAGCUGUCACAGAAACUUUUCCUAACACUUAAAACAAUUAUUAUUUUGCUGUACAUUCAUGUGCCUUUCUCUUGCAGGAAACUCUAGAAGUUGAGAACUUGAGAUGCUCAGGAAAAAGCUAACCUCUAAAGCUACUCUAAUGCCAUGAUCUGAUAUAAACUUGAUCAUGAGUUUUUGAACAAUUUGUUAUAUCAACUUUAAGCUGAGAUUACAUAUGUUGUACAUUCAUUGGUUGGUAACCAUUAUUUGCAUUAGGUUGCAUGAAUUACAUUGCUGAUCCAUUUUUGGUUUAGAAAAUCUAACAAAGUCAGAUUUGUUAUUAGACUUGAUUUCGACCCGUCUUAGUUUAGUUAUGUUCAGCAGUUUGAAUAUAAGUGGUCUUGAGUUGGAUAACAACAGCAAAUCCCGCGGCAAAGCGCGGGUUU
rnacentral:lncRNA from 1 species